AUGGCGUCGCUCUCCCUCUCCCUCCGCGCCAACGCCUCCGCCUCCCCGGCCGCCGCCGGAUCCCGCGCCGCCGCCUCAAUCAAGGCGUCGUGCGUGAGGAGCAAGGUUACCUUCAGCUUACCAUCCAUCAGAGCUACCUCCUCGCCUGCUAGAAGCAUUGAGCCCGUAAGAGCCACGGCCACACAGGCGCCCCCUGCCACCCCUCAAACUUCUAGUGGGGAGAAAACAAAGGUCGGCAUCAAUGGUUUUGGGCGGAUUGGGAGGUUAGUUCUGAGAAUUGCAAUCGAUAGAGAUGAUAUUGAAGUUGUGGCCGUCAAUGAUCCGUUUAUCGAUGCUAAAUACAUGGCCUACAUGUUUAAGUAUGAUUCCACACACGGUCCAUUCAAAGGAACCAUAACAGUUCUGGAUGAGUCAACCUUGGAGAUUAAUGGGAAGAAAGUCUCAGUUACAAGCAAAAGGGACCCCUCAGAUAUCCCUUGGGGUAACUUUGGAGCUGAAUAUGUUGUUGAAUCAUCUGGUGUUUUUACAACAGUUGAGAAAGCUUCAGCACAUUUGAAGGGGGGUGCGAAGAAAGUGGUGAUAUCGGCUCCGUCAGCGGAUGCUCCCAUGUUUGUGGUUGGAGUAAAUGAGAAGAAUUACAACCCUAGCAUGGAUGUUGUCUCUAAUGCUAGUUGUACCACCAACUGUCUUGCUCCUGUUGCCAAGGUUGUCCAUGAGGAGUUUGGCAUUCUUGAAGGCCUAAUGACAACUGUCCAUGCCACAACAGCCACUCAAAAGACUGUUGAUGGUCCUUCGAUGAAGGACUGGAGGGGAGGACGUGGUGCUGGUCAAAACAUCAUCCCUAGCUCUACGGGUGCAGCAAAGGCUGUUGGAAAGGUCCUUCCAGCUUUAAAUGGAAAGCUCACUGGCAUGGCCUUCCGGGUUCCUACACCUAACGUGUCCGUUGUUGAUCUGACCUGCCGACUUGAGAAAAGCGCUUCCUAUGAAGAUGUGAAAGCAGCUAUCAAGGAAGCAUCAGAAGGUUCACUUAAAGGUAUUCUAGGCUACACAGAUGAGGAUGUUGUUUCAAACGAUUUCGUUGGUGACACAAGGUCGAGCAUAUUUGAUGCCAAUGCUGGUAUGGGUCUAAGUUCAUCUUUCAUGAAGCUCGUCUCCUGGUACGACAACGAGUGGGGCUACAGCAACCGUGUCCUGGAUCUGAUCGGGCACAUGGCUCUUGUCAACGCCUAA
rnacentral:rRNA from 1 species